rnacentral:rRNA from 1 species
UACGUAGGCAGCGAGCGUUGUUCGGAAUUACUGGGCGUAAAGAGUGUGUAGGCGGUGCUCUAAGUUCGGUGUGAAAUCUCCUGGCUCAACUGGGAGGGUGCGCCGGAAACUGGAGUGCUUGAGCGUGGGAGAGGAAAGCGGAAUUCCUGGUGUAGCGGUGAAAUGCGUAGAUAUCCGGAGGAACACCGGUGGCGAAGGCGGCUUCCUGGACCGACACUGACGCUGAGGCGCGAAAGCUAGGGGAGCAAACGGG